rnacentral:rRNA from 1 species
GAUGAACGCUGGCGGCGUGCCUAAUACAUGCAAGUCGAGCGAACGGACGAGAAGCUUGCUUCUCUGAUGUUAGCGGCGGACGGGUGAGUAACACGUGGAUAACCUACCUAUAAGACUGGGAUAACUUCGGGAAACCGGAGCUAAUACCGGAUAAUAUUUUGAACCGCAUGGUUCAAAAGUGAAAGACGGUCUUGCUGUCACUUAUAGAUGGAUCCGCGCUGCAUUAGCUAGUUGGUAAGGUAACGGCUUACCAAGGCAACGAUGCAUAGCCGACCUGAGAGGGUGAUCGGCCACACUGGAACUGAGACACGGUCCAGACUCCUACGGGAGGCAGCAGUAGGGAAUCUUCCGCAAUGGGCGAAAGCCUGACGGAGCAACGCCGCGUGAGUGAUGAAGGUCUUCGGAUCGUAAAACUCUGUUAUUAGGGAAGAACAUAUGUGUAAGUAACUGUGCACAUCUUGACGGUACCUAAUCAGAAAGCCACGGCUAACUACGUGCCAGCAGCCGCGGUAAUACGUAGGUGGCAAGCGUUAUCCGGAAUUAUUGGGCGUAAAGCGCGCGUAGGCGGUUUUUUAAGUCUGAUGUGAAAGCCCACGGCUCAACCGUGGAGGGUCAUUGGAAACUGGAAAACUUGAGUGCAGAAGAGGAAAGUGGAAUUCCAUGUGUAGCGGUGAAAUGCGCAGAGGUAUGGAGGAACACCAGUGGCGAAGGCGACUUUCUGGUCUGUAACUGACGCUGAUGUGCGAAAGCGUGGGGAUCAAACGGGAUUAGAUACCCUGGUAGUCCACGCCGUAAACGAUGAGUGCUAAGUGUUAGGGGGUUUCCGCCCCUUAGUGCUGCAGCUAACGCAUUAAGCACUCCGCCUGGGGAGUACGACCGCAAGGUUGAAACUCAAAGGAAUUGACGGGGACCCGCACAAGCGGUGGAGCAUGUGGUUUAAUUCGAAGCAACGCGAAGAACCUUACCAAAUCUUGACAUCCUUUGACAACUCUAGAGAUAGAGCUUUCCCCUUCGGGGGACAAAGUGACAGGUGGUGCAUGGUUGUCGUCAGCUCGUGUCGUGAGAUGUUGGGUUAAGUCCCGCAACGAGCGCAACCCUUAAGCUUAGUUGCCAUCAUUAAGUUGGGCACUCUAAGUUGACUGCCGGUGACAAACCGGAGGAAGGUGGGGAUGACGUCAAAUCAUCAUGCCCCUUAUGAUUUGGGCUACACACGUGCUACAAUGGACAAUACAAAGGGCAGCGAAACCGUGAGGUCAAGCAAAUCCCAUAAAGUUGUUCUCAGUUCGGAUUGUAGUCUGCAACUCGACUACAUGAAGCUGGAAUCGCUAGUAAUCGUAGAUCAGCAUGCUACGGUGAAUACGUUCCCGGGUCU